rnacentral:rRNA from 1 species
AAAUCCUGACUAGUAAUGGAAAGGAUGGAUUUAUUACAUACAAAAACCAAUGCAUUAAAUUGUUAACUUCGGGGGGUGGUCUUAUUGGUGAUUCAUAAUAACUUUACGAAUCGUUUUGCCUUGUGCUGGCGAUAAUUCAUUCAAAUUUCUGCCCUAUCAACUUUCGAUGGUAGUAUAGAGGACUACCAUGGUGGUAACGGGUAACGGAGAAUCAGGGUUUGAUUCCGGAGAAGGAGCCUGAGAAACGGCUACUACUUCUAAGGAAGGCAGCAGGCGCGCAAAUUACCCAAUCCCGACACGGGGAGGUAGUGACAAAAAAUAACAAUAUCGAUAAUUAUUUUUAUUGAUAAUUGGAAUGAGUACAAUCUAAAUCCCUUAACGAGUAACAAUUGGAGGGCAAGUCUGGUGCCAGCAGCCGCGGUAAUUCCAGCUCCAAUAGCAUAUAUUAAAGUUGUUGCAGUUAAAAAGCUCGUAGUUGGAUUUUAAAGUUUUAUAUUUUGCGCUACUUAAAAGAGUAUAAUUUUAUUAAUAACUCUCCUUACUAGAUAUUCACAAUUAUUUUUAAUUAAAUAGUUGGUUUUAUUCGAAAGGAUAAAAUGCUUAAUAGGUCUGGGAAUUAAGAUGUGGUUUAUUUACGAGGCAACUUGUUGAAUAAAUCUGCUUAAUUAACUUCUAUAAAGUAGAAUUCUAGUUCAUUUACUUUGAGUAAAUUAGAGUGUUCAAAGCAAACAAAUUAUUUUGUAAUGAAUACUAUUAGCAUGGGAUAAUGGAACAGGACAUUGGGUCUAUUUCGUUGGUUUUUAGAACUAAUGUAAUGAUUAAAAGGGAUAGUUGGGGGCAUUAGUAUUUAAUUGUCAGAGGUGAAAUUCUUGGAUUUAUGAAAGACUAACUUCUGCGAAAGCAUUUGUCAAAGAUGUUUUCAUUAAUCAAGAACGAAAGUUAGGGGAUCGAAGACGAUCAGAUACCGUCGUAGUCUUAACCAUAAACUAUGCCGACCAGGGAUUGGAAGUAGCAUACACUCAUUUUUUGAGUAUUACUACCUUUUUACGAGAAAUCACAAGUUUUUGGGUUCUGGGGGGAGUAUGGUCGCAAGGCUGAAACUUAAAGGAAUUGACGGAAGGGCACCACCAGGAGUGGAGCCUGCGGCUUAAUUUGACCCAACACGGGAAAACUUACCAGGUCCAGACACAGUUAGGAUUGACAGAUUGAGAGCUCUUUCUUGAUUCUGUGGGUGGUGGUGCAUGGCCGUUCUUAGUUGGUGGAGUGAUUUGUCUGGUUAAUUCCGAUAACGAACGAGACCUCAGCCUGCUAAUUAGUUGUAUUAAUAAUAACAUUAUGGGUGGAUUUAUUCUUGAUUAGAAAACCUGUUUUUAUUGAUAUCAGGUGCUGGUAAAACAGUAUUUUUACUUCUUAGAGGGACACUUGGUGUUUAACCAAGGGAAGUUUGAGGCAAUAACAGGUCUGUGAUGCCCUUUAGAUGUUCUGGGCUGCACGCGCGCUACACUGAUACAAUCAACAAGCACAAAAGACCUCAUCCGAAAGGUUUGGGUAAACUUUUGAAAUUGUAUCGUGCUGGGGAUCGAUAAUUGCAAUUAUUUAUCGUGAACGAGGAAUUCCUAGUAGGCGCAAGUCAACAGCUUGCGCCGAUUACGUCCCUGCCCUUUGUACACACCGCCCGUCGCUGCCUCUGAUGGUUGGUCGUGCGGUGAAUUCUUAUGAUUGAGAACAGUUAUUGAUU